CGCUGGCGGCAGGCUUACACAUGCAAGGUCGAACGGUAACAGAGAAUGAGCUUGCUAUUUUGCUGACAGUGGCGAACGGGUGAGUAAUGCUUGGGAAUUUGCCGUGGUGUGGGGGAGAACAGUUGGAAACGACUGCUAAGUACCGCAGAAGUGUCUUCGGACCAAAGGUGGCCUCUAUUUAUAUGCUAUCGCAACAAGAUGAGCCCAAGUGGGAUUAGCUAGUUGGUAAGGUAAUGGCUUACCAGGGCGACGAUCCCUAGCUGGUCUUAGAGGAUGACCAGCCACACUGGAACUGAGACACGGUCCAGACUCCUACGGGAGGCAGCAGUGGGGAAUAUUGCACAAUGGAGGAAACUCUGAUGCAGCCAUGCCGCGUGUGUGAAGAAGGCUUUCGGGUUGUAAAGCACUUUCAGCGAGGAGGAAAGGGUGUUACUUAAUACGUAACAUCUGUGACGUUACUCGCAGAAGAAGCACCGGCUAACUCCGUGCCAGCAGCCGCGGUAAUACGGAGGGUGCAAGCGUUAAUCGGAAUUACUGGGCGUAAAGCGCGCGUAGGUGGUUAAUCAAGUCAGAUGUGAAAGCCCAGGGCUCAACCUUGGAACUGCAUUUGAAACUGGUUGACUAGAGUUUUGUAGAGGGUGGUAGAAUUUCAGGUGUAGCGGUGAAAUGCGUAGAGAUCUGAAGGAAUACCAGUGGCGAAGGCGGCCACCUGGACAAAGACUGACACUGUAGGCGCGAAGGCGUGGGGAGCAAACGGGAGUUAGAUACCCCGGUAGUCCCCGCAGUAAACGAUGUCUAUUAGAAGUUUGUGCAUAUGCCGUGGGUUUCAAAGCUAACGCAUUAAAUGACCGCCUGGGGAGUACGGCCGCAAGGUAAAACUACAUAAUGAAGUGACG
rnacentral:rRNA from 1 species